AAGAGUUUGAUCAUGGCUCAGAACGAACGCUGGCGGCAGGCUUAACACAUGCAAGUCGAACGCUCGUAGCAAUACGGGAGUGGCGGACGGGUGAGUAACGCGUGGGAACGUGCCCUGAGGUACGGAAUAACUGAGGGAAACUUCAGCUAAUACCGUAUGAGCCCCGAGAGGGGGAAAGAUUUAUCGCCUUGGGAGCGGCCCGCGUCGGAUUAGCUAGUUGGUGGGGUAACGGCCUACCAAGGCUUCGAUCCGUAGCCGGUCUGAGAGGACGAUCAGCCACACUGGGACUGAGACACGGCCCAGACUCCUACGGGAGGCAGCAGUGGGGAAUCUUGCGCAAUGGGGGCAACCCUGACGCAGCCAUGCCGCGUGAACGAUGAAGGCCUUAGGGCUGUAAAGUUCUUUUACCCGUGACGAUGAUGACGGUAACGGGGGAAUAAGCUCCGGCUAACUUCGUG
rnacentral:rRNA from 1 species